rnacentral:rRNA from 1 species
AACCGGAUUAGAUACCCUGGUAGUCCACGCUGUAAACGAUGAUCACUCGUUGUUGGCGAUACACAGUCAGCGACUGAGCGAAAGCAUUAAGUGAUCCACCUGGGGAGUACGGUCGCAAGACUGAAACUCAAAGGAAUUGACGGGGGCCCGCACAAGCGGAGAAACAUGUGGUUUAAUUCGAUGAUACGCGAGGAACCUUACCUGGGCUUAAAUGUAGGACGACGUUUCGGGAAACCGGAACUCCCUUCGGGGCGUUUUGCAAGGUGCUGCAUGGUUGUCGUCAGCUCGUGCCGUGAGGUGUCGGGUUAAGUCCCAUAACGAGCGCAACCCUUAUCGUUAGUUGCCAUCGGGUCAUGCCGGGAACUCUAACGAAACUGCCGGUGUAAACCGUGAGGAAGGUGGGGAUGACGUCAAAUCAGCACGGCCCUUAUGUCCAGGGCUACACACGUGUUACAAUGGUCGGUACAGAGGGCAGCUACCACGCGAGUGGAUGCAAAUCUCGAAAGCCGAUCUCAGUUCGGAUUGGAGUCUGCAACUCGACUCCAUGAAGCUGGAUUCGCUAGUAAUCGCGCAUCAGCCAUGGCGCGGUGAAUACGUUCCCGGGCCUUGUACACACCGCCCGUCAAGCCAUGGAAGCUGGGGGUACCUGAAGUUUGUAACUGCAAGGAGCGGCCUAGGGUAAAACUAGUGACUGGGCUAAGUCGUAACAAGUAACUCCGAUCC